GGGCGCGCGCGUUCUUUGCCUGUAGGUGUGGGGUUGGUGGGGGGAGAGCGCGAGUCCCUCGAGCUCAGAGACUCAAGAGGAGAGCUCCAGGUUGGUGCAGAAACUGCCAUAGCCCUAACUCGCUGGGCGCAGGGUUCACAUGGCAAGUCCGGCGGAAAAGAGGAGGCAGAAUGGAAGGCAAAAGUUCAGCGCCUUGCACGCAGGUGUCUGGCGUUCGCGUUGCAAUUGUCCCGAAGCCCACCGACAAGCGGGAAAGACCCCUGGCCAGACUGGCGGCUUGUCCUCGCCGCCUAGCUAGCUGCCGCGCGAACGCGGGCGGGUCACGUUGCUGCCUAGCGUCCGGGUCGAGAACGUGGGCUCUCAGGGACGUACCUGCUCUGCCGCACGCUUCUGAGACCCAGGGCCAAGCUGCUGGGCGCUGGGCUCCGGGAACUCGGCCACGGUGCGCUGCUGGCUUGGCCGCCUUUUUCUUGGGAAAGGGACCCUGGGCAUUUGCACCGAAAUGAGAAGUGACUGCCCCGAGGUUAUUUAUUCUGAGGACUCUUCCCCGAGGGAGUCACCUGAGCGGCCCUGACUUGCAGCGGAGGGCGAAGUGCAGACGCCACUCUCUGACUUUGAGAGGGCUUGGGACGCAGAAGGGCAGAGGGGUGCCGCGCGGCGAACCGGGCAGCAUCUGGUCGGUGCGCACCGAAGACCGCAGGUACUACGGCGAGUCUGCCCCUUCCGGAAGCCUGCCCGGACUCACUGCUGUUUUUCACGCUCCCCUCUCCUGUCUUGUCUCUUCCCUUCACUUUGUCCCCUGUAGGGCGGGCUCUUCGCACCGAUCCCGGCCAGGACUGGCUGUGUGUCGGUCCUCGGAGGAUGUCACCUACCUGUGGCCAGCUUCCCUCUGGGUCUGCGCCAGGUCGGGUUUUACUUUCAUUUCUCCGGCGCGCGCCUCAGACUGCCGGGGAGGUCAAGGGCAGCUGGGCGUCGGCCCACAGCCAAGGAAGGUCCCGUGGUCUGGACUCGUUCCUUCCCGUCCGCACCAGCCCUGGGGGAUUGCGCCUGCGGAGCGAGCGGCCCGCGGUUGCACCUGGUUGCCUGCUCGCUGUGCCCUUCAGGAAAGCCCGGGAUCCGGUGAGGGCAGCUGAGCUCUCGGUCCGGGGGAAGGCUCGCGAAGUGUGUUACUGGUUCAGACUUCUGGAGUGCAGGCGACGUCGGAGAGAAAAGCAGACCCAGGAGUGGAGAGAGGCUCCGCUGCUCAGCGCCGCUCGGCUUCGGUGCAAUGGCCAGCGCUGUCGCGGCUGACCCGGGAACUGCCCCCUGAGAGCUUUGGGGUGAGCCUUCCCAGCCUGGGUGCGCUUCGUCGCUCUGGCACUUAGAAAGAACCAAACCAAGUCUUUCUUUAAGUAAUGGCCUGGGUUGACGGCUCAGAGCAUUUUGCUGGGAAACCCUCAGUGUUGGGGUAUGUGUGUGUGUGUUUGUAUUUGUAUUUACAUGGGUGGGCCGCAGAGGCCAGAGCGCCCCCCCAAAUCACCCCCCAAAGCGCCAGGAGUUUGAGUAGAAAAAAAAUGAGGAAUUUGCCAAAGCUGAGCUUCUUUUUUUAUUAUUAUUAUUGUCUUCGUGGAAUCUCAAAUUGCAUUACUUAAGCAUGGUUAAAGACAAACAACCUUCCCUCUCAAUGCCCCCCCCCCAAAAAAAACACCCCUCACUAGACUGCCUUGUCGGUUCACUGGUCCUAUCUAGAAGGAAACACCCCAGUCCCAGGGCUGCUCCCUGGUGAUUUGUUAACAGUUUCAUCCAUUCAAGUUUGCAAAGAUUGUAGAUUCACAUUGAGCACGGACAGUACAAGGAAGGAAGGAAGGAAGUGGAGGAAGAAACAUCUUUAAAAUUUCCCUGCAAGAAAAAACACAAAAGAAAAAAGAAAAGAAAAGCAAUCCUGGUAAAUGAAGGUCUGCUUUUUUUGUCAGAAGACAAACCCCCAAAGCCCUGUGAUAAAUAUGUAUCUCCUGACAUCCUAUAUCCAGACAUAAGUAUGCAUAUGCUGGAGGCCUGUUGCGUAAUGAUGUUUCAAUUUCUUCUUCACAUUCCAAUUGAAUUAUUUUUAGGCCC